AUUGAACGCUGGCGGCAGGCCUAACACAUGCAAGUCGAGCGGUAACAGGGGAAGCUUGCUUCUCGCUGACGAGCGGCGGACGGGUGAGUAAUGUAUGGGGAUCUGCCCGAUAGAGGGGGGAUAACUACUGGAAACGGUAGCUAAUACCGCAUAAUCUCUCAGGAGCAAAGCAGGGGAACUUCGGUCCUUGCGCUAUUGGAUGAACCCAUAUGGGAUUAGCUAGUAGG
rnacentral:rRNA from 1 species